CCUAACAUUCACCACAUUAUCGAUCUCGAUGGAGAAGCCCACAAAUCAAACGCGUGCAAUAGCCCUGCUGCUCUCCCAACUGUUGCUCGUGUGCUUUGCUUUUCAUGCGCAGUGCCGAACCACCGAGGGCAUGGACAACGAGAAAAUCAAUAUACCAGGCGGAUUGUGCGUCCAUCAUAGAGAUUGCAGCCCGGGUAAUUGUUGUUACUGGUGUCUAGUGGUGGAUGAUUGCUAUCCAUCAUUGGAUGAGUGCCAGAAAGAGUGCAAAAAACACAUCCCUGGGCGCCUCUUUAACCUCCCAUCCCCAUGAAAUUGAAUGUCUUCUUUUUAAAGUGUUAAUUAAUUGGAAAGAGAAUAUUUUGUUGUUUUCUUUUGAAGUCCGUACUUGUUCUAAUAAAAGUUAUCUCAAUUUUUA